UUCGGCGGUAAUCAAAUAAGUACGUGCUCAAAAGGAGUUUCUCAUUUCUUAAAACUUUUCAUCUGACAAUCGUUUUUUCUUCUUUUUCUAUCUUUAUUUUUCUUUUCUGUUUAUUGGUUUUCUUUAUUUUAAUCAUGAAAACUCAUUCCAAGUAGAAAAUUCAUUAAUAAUGAUGCUCUUGUGGAUUUAAAUAUAAAAUGAUGGUGUAUUACUGUUUGAGGAAGUGGGUGUGUUGUGGGAAUUGUUUUUUUUGUUACCGACACUUCUCUGAUGGUCGGUUCAUGCUUCCCCCAGAUGCUCUGUAUACCAAAUGUUGGAUUAAAGAUUAUAACACCCGUAACCAAUGUACAAGUACAUAUAUGACUUUCAGCCACCAACGUCGAUGUCUCUGAAUAUAUAUACAGAAAUUUUUCAUUUCCACAUUAUUGUUUCCUAAUUUUACUGAUAGGUUCUUAAAUAAUCUAGACUACCAAUGAUUUGAUUCGUUUCUAAUAAUUUAAUAAUGCUAAACAUAACUGAUUAGACAAGUUGUUAGAGUUAUCAUUAUUCACUGAAAAACUUUUUCUUAUUAAUGACUGUUAAAGAAACAUUUAUGGUUUGCCAAACGAAAUCACGCCACAAUAAGGCAACCAAAGAAACUAGUAAUUGAGUAUGAUCAUUCGUUGCUAGACUCUAACGGCAAUGUAUGCACCAUGCUUCGUAGGAGCAAACCGAUCACAUUCCACCAGGCGCAUCAAUCGGUUCAAGACCCUUUUUUACUAAAUCUGACAAAGAAUAUGUGAUAAUUGAGUGUAAAACUGUAUUCAUUUCUAAUAAAUAGUUUCUAACAUCUAAUACGAAAUAUUAAAUUGAAAAUUAAAUGAAUGCUAAUACUUAAAAUUUCGAAAUUUUACUUUUGAAUACGGCUGUUUGUACUUUCAUAAUUCCUUUGCAAUAGGUUUGUAUAUUCAUACCACUAACUAGAUUUUCUGCUUACAAGUAGUCUAACUCUGAUUACUGUGAUGCAGUCUAUUCCUCGCGAUUUUAACGACCAUUUUGCAAUAUGUGAAGCUUUGACUGAAUUUUUCUCGUGUCAUUUACUAUUUUCUCUUCCACUAAAUAUGGUAUAGAGCAGCAGGAACACAUACCUCAGCAAAAUAUAAUAAUGUGUACAUUUAAGCUAUUGAAACUAAUGAGAUGCAUCAAAUUAAAUAAGAUAAUCUCUGUUUGUAGAUGACAAUGAAGUGGAAAUGUAAUCUUCAGCGAAUGUAAGAAGUUAGUAACUAGCUCUAUCUACUAUAAAGCUAAUUAGGUUACUGAAAUUGGAAGUUGUGAAGUUUCUUAGGCCAAUGAUCUACUCAAAGAGGGUUGGGUUUAAAGAUCAAACAAGAAUCGGCUUAUAUAACUGUUAUAUGCUUGUCAAAGAAAAUCAAGCAUCAUAUAGGUGUUUGAGAGUAUCGGUCAAAUUCACUUCAAAAGGAAAAUGGUUGUAUUUGGAGAAUUGUAAGUAUUUAAGAUGUAUGCUUUCUUCUUUGAAUCUAAUAGAGAAGCUUAUACAAGCUCACCAACUCGCAAGUUUGAGGGUUUUUAUCUAACGUAUCUUAUAGGAAAAAUAGACAUUUAAAUCCUCGACUAUUUGAAAUCAGCAAGUUUAAUAUCGAAGUAUUGUUCGCACGAUUUUAUUCCCCAACUAAUAGUUGACUUGGCGAAUUGGUGACUAAAAAAAACAGUUGUUAAAUCAUAAACGAUUCUCCUUAGUUUUAUAUCAAUUAUCUUCGUCAUUGAACUUGAAAAAUCAAAAUUCCCAAAUUCAAACCCUAACUUUGAAUGAUAACGAUUUUUGGUGACAACAAAGGCGAUUUCCAGUGAUAAAGAAGCAAAUCCGGCCCGAUCACUAAACAAAUAUCACUGGAAAUCACUUUUUUCGUUGUCGGACAAAAAUUUAGAAAGGCAUAUCCUAUAAAAUUUCUCCUAUUUUUAUCAUGUUAAUUAAUGAUUUUGUCUUUUCUCUAAGUUUUUUGGUUUCAGUUAAAUAAAAAUAUUACAUAUAAAAGAAAUUUUAAUAGAUUAUUUUUUUUUGCUUAGAAGUAAGUCUUAAGAAGAGAAAAAAACUAUGUAUUGUCAAGCACUAUCGGAAAUCGUCUUCACUCAAAAUUAGGAUUUGAAUUUUGGAAUUUCGAAUUUUCCUGGUUCAAUGUCGAAGAUAAUUGAUAUAAAACUAACAAGAAUAGUUUAUGACUUAACGGCUGAUUUUUUUAGUCACUAAUUUGCCAAGUCAACUAUUAGUUGGAGAAUAAAAUUGUGCAAGCAAUACUUUGGUAUUAAACUUGUUGAUUUUAAAUAGUUGAAGAUUUAAAUGUUCAUUUUCCCGUAUCUUAUAUGUUAUAAUUUUUUUGGGAACCUUGUUAUAAAUACAUAUAUACUUAGUCGAAUAUGUGUAUAGUAUAUAACUAAUACUUUCAUGUUUACAUUUAUAUAAUAUUAUUUUGUUAUUAAAGUUUUAAUUAAAUAUAUCAUUAACUUUCUAAAAAUAAGCAAAAGAUGAGUCAAAAAGAUAGAAGACGGAGAAAAAAAAAUUAAAAAAAAAUUCACUCAAGGCCUAAAACACCCAACAAUCCACAUUCUAUACAUAUUAUAAUGAUGUUUUGUGGUCACUGGAGCCUGGAGGCAGCGGCAUGUGACCUAAAAUCUUAUUCAUUUAAUAGUAGUGUAGCUUUAGAUUUUAGUGAAUCAAACCCAACAUGUUCUAGCAAUGUUACGAUUUUGUUCACUUCUGCGCAAUGAUAGUUUUUGCGACUAGUCUUAGUUCGUUUGAAAUAUGAAAAUUUGAGUUUAUAAAGUUUAAUCCUUAAUAAUUGAACAGUUAUUUGCCUAUCGCUGAUCGUUGCACUUAGUCACUUGAUCGUUGUCAUCAGUUGUUAUUUUUGGUCGUGGCGGUUAGUGCCUGGGAACCGAGGACAGUUAUAUACAAUUAUGUUUGUAGUGAAAAUUGUGAAACUAGAUUCGCAUAUAAGUGUAUCUGUGUAUGGUCUGAUUGGUCACGUUUUUCUUUUUUGAACGGCCACUAAAAUCAUAACCGCAUCCAGACACUCAAAAUUAAUGAUUCAGCUCUAUUGCCACAGACAAAAGAUAAAAAGAAAAGUUGAAUCGUGGAAGCUUUUCACAAAAAGAUGUGUGAGUAUAGUAAAUUAGUAACGUUGCCUUUUUGAAAACUUAAAAAAGUCCAUUAACCUUCCCUUUUCCUCUUUUAGUUGCAAAAUGCAAUGAUGCGAUAUUAUUAGGAUCGAGAAUAAUCACACCUGUAUUUAUGACACAUCAAUCAUAAUAGAUGAAUUUUGUAUAAAUUUAUGUAACUUUAAUUUUAUCAAAAACUGUGUAACCAAUUAAAUUUUUCUUAUUUUUAUUUAUAAUUAAAUAAACUAAUUUAUAUUGUAAUUUAGUGAUGUUUUUGAUAAAAAAUAAUUUUUUUUAAUAUUUGUGUAUUAGAGUAAAACAUCAAAUAAUAAAAAAACAGAGAAAGUAUUUAAUAAUCUAACCUAUACUAAAAGCCAAAUAUAAACCCCAUUUAGCCUGUCCACGUAGGACUAUAAAUUCUAGCCAAUCAUAUAGCUUCAUCUCUCCACAUCACCACCGAAUAUUGGAUCAUCGAAUUGGACAUUGUUUGUGGGCCAAUCAUAUAUUGUUUUCGGCCUAUCUGUAAGAAGCUUCGGUUGCGUCUUUACACGUUCCUUUCUAAUUCUUCGAAACGUUAGAGGUUAUUAAUUCAUCGCUUUAACAAACCUCUUAAUACCAUCAAUCCGCGUCGAGCAUGAUCUGAGAUUGAUGCAUCUUAUCCCUCUGCAAGUUGGUCUCUAUGCACCUAUAAAAGUGGCUUCUCGCUGCAACACAAGAAACUGCGAUGAACGGAGAGUCCUCAUCGGUUCGAAUCAGCCCUAAGCACGAAGGAGUCGUGGAGAUCUCUGAUUCUGUACCUCUCAUUCCUCCUCUCGGGAUCUCGGUCAUCAUGAUACGUGGCUAUGUGAGGAGAUGGAGUUGAGAUGAGGAUGAUAGCUCUCACUUCACCUUGAAAUAAUUGAUCGACCCGUUCAAGAUGACUGACUACUCGGUUACUCUCGGUUGACAAGGAGGCGUUUACUCACUGAAAAAUCUCUUCCGAAGUGUUUUCCUUUCCAAGAGUCUGCUCAAUUGAUUGAUUUUUCUUUUUUCACCUUCUCUGCAAAACUUUUUUGGUAGCCAAGAGUCACUUUUUAUAAACUUCAGGCUUCUGAACUCUCAUUCUAAAAAUGGAUUUUUGUGUGGUUCUCUCAUUCUAUGAUCUUUUGUUCGUCUGAUAUGUUCGAUUUCAAAAGCAAGUUGUUAUCUAAUUAAAGCAUUGUCUUUAUAGGAACAGAAGCGAUGAUGACAAGAGAAGAAAGCUGAGUCCUCUGGAAAGAAACAACACAAUAAGUAAUUUAGAAGAACAAAGGGAGCUGAAGUUGCAAGACAUGUGGACUGUCCGUUGCAUUAGCUUUUUUAUUUUAUUUCCAAGUUCAACGAAGUCAGAGCACUUCAAGUCUUUUAUAGAUUAUGUUUUGUUGCUCUAUAUUUUCUAAAUUUGCACCGCUCAGACAUUUGCAAGUUAAUAAAUUUGCACUUCCACCCA